GAUGAACGCUGGCGGCGUGCCUAAUACAUGCAAGUCGAGCGCAGCGGGGACGGGUGAGUACCAGGUGGAAACCCUCCUAUACGUAUGGGACAACGUCGGGAAACCGGAGCUAAACCGGCUACUUAUAGGUGGCUGCGCGCUGCAGUAGCUAGUUGGUAGGGUAACGGCGUACCAAGGCAACGCUGCAUAGCCGACCUGAGAGGGUGAGCGGCCACACUGGAACUGAGACACGGUCCAGACUCCUACGGGAGGCAGCAGUAGGGAAUCUUCGGCAAUGGGCGAAAGCCUGACGGAGCAACGCCGCGUGAGUGAUGAAGGUCUUCGGAUCGUAAAACUCUGUUAUUAGGGAAGCGGUACCUAAUCAGAAAGCCACGGCUAACUACGUGCCAGCAGCCGCGGUAAUAC
rnacentral:rRNA from 1 species